GUUGUAUAGUCAAGUAAUUAAGUGCAUGUGGUGGAUGCCUUGGCAGUCAGAGGCGAUGAAAGACGUGAUAGCCUGCGAAAAGCUCCGGGGAGGCGGCAAAUAUCCUUUGAUCCGGAGAUGUCUGAAUGGGGGAACCCACCUACUUUAAGGUAGGUAUUGCAACAUGAAUACAUAGUGUUGCAAGGCGAACGAGGGGAAGUGAAACAUCUCAGUACCCUUAGGAAAAGAAAUCAAUUGAGAUUCCCUCAGUAGCGGCGAGCGAAC
rnacentral:rRNA from 1 species